rnacentral:rRNA from 1 species
UACGAAGGGGGCUAGCGUUGUUCGGAUUUACUGGGCGUAAAGCGCACGUAGGCGGAUCGUUAAGUCGGGGGUGAAAUCCUGGAGCUCAACUCCAGAACUGCCUUCGAUACUGGCGAUCUCGAGUCCGGAAGAGGUGAGUGCAACUCCUAGUGUAGAGGUGGAAUUCGUAGAUAUUAGGAAGAACACCAGUGGCGAAGGCGGCUCACUGGUCCGGUACUGACGCUGAGGUGCGAAAGCGUGGGGAGCAAACAGG